UCAUGGUCACAAAUCCCUGCUCACUGCUGCCACUGCUGCUGCCACCACAGACCAAGAGCUCCACUUGCACAGUGCUGCUGGCUAAGAAGAAGUUGCUGUACCUGAGCACUGGACCACAUGGACUCACAGAGACUCCCAACCAAGAGCUGAUACUGCAGAUUUCAGAGGGAAGAACCCUGAUACUCACCAGCUUCAGCUCUGGAGCACAAGAGAAAGAGCAGCAGGGGGAGAGGAAGAAGCAGCAUCUUCCCAGAGAGGCUGCCUGAGCAAAUGCUGGUUUUCCUUUCCAGUCUUGGGUUUUAUAACUCCCAGAAGGCAAGAGAGGGGCAAGGCUGGUAACCACAGGAACUGCAUGGUCACGUUUUCUUCUCUCACUCUGAAUUGGCUGUUUCUGAUCAGAAGUUCCCCUAGAAUCACCCAGUGUUUUUCUAGAAAGGAACUUGAGCCCUGAACUCCCAAGUGCUGGCUUCUCAGAUGUACCCUCAACUAUGGUGACUUUUCUGGAGUUGGGGGCAGGAAAUGGAGGGACCAUGUUUUUCUUUCCCAAUUAGGGCAGCUUGUGAAAGGCCCACUGAACGUUCAGUGCAAAGACUUUUAUGGCUAUGUUCCAUAGUCAGAAAUGCAUAUUGCAGAGUCCCAGUGCAUGCACAUAUGUAUGUGUGAGUAUGUAAGCACAAAUUAAAGGUUUCAGGAAACAA
ensembl:lncRNA novel transcript, antisense to CMA1